CCUACGGGAGGCAGCAGUGAGGAAUAUUGGUCAAUGGGCGCGAGCCUGAACCAGCCAAGUCGCGUGAGGGAAGACGGUCCUAUGGAUUGUAAACCUCUUUUGUCGGGGGGCAAAAGACGCCACGCGUGGCGUUCUGAGAGUACCCGAUGAAAAAGCAUCGGCUAACUCCGUGCCAGCAGCCGCGGUAAUACGGAGGAUUCGAGCGUUAUCCGGAUUUAUUGGGUUUAAAGGGUGCGCAGGCGGCAGAUCAAGUGAGCGGUAAAAUUGAGAGGCUCAACCUCUUCGAGCCGUGGAAACUGGUUUUCUUGAGUGCGUGAGAGGUAUGCGGAAUGCGUGGUGUAGCGGUGAAAUGCAUAGAUAUCACGCAGAACUCCGAUUGCGAAGGCAGCAUACCGGCGCUCAACUGACGCUCAUGCACGAAAGUGUGGGUAUCGAACAGGAUUAGAUACCCGUGUAGUC
rnacentral:rRNA from 1 species